ensembl:lncRNA
CUCAAUCUCUCUGAGCUCAGGCUCAGGUACAAGGUGGGCGGGAGAGCCAGGAGUGGUUGCAGCUGCGGGCGCUUAAAUUGGCAGGAGCGCCUCUCCGCUGCGCUAGGUUGGGCUUUUUGUGUGUCUCCGCCGAGGAGGAGGAGGAGAAGGUUCUGGGGGCGCGGAAACCCGGGGUUCUGGGAAGGGAACGGCAAGCAAGAAGACAGAAAUAAAACCCAACCGGGAUGGAAAGGCGGAAUAGCCUCACGGUGCCCUUUUGAGCCCAAGCCUCAAGGGUUCCGUUCCAGUCCCGCGGUGGGCGAAGGGGCACCCGCCGGGGAUCGGCCACCCACACCAGCCAUGGCCACGGAGGAAGGAGGAGGCCAGCCCGGAUUCCGCUGGGAUAAUUGGAAGGCGUGGGCCGCUUUUGCCACAGCCGAGUUUGCGAUCAUCCUCAUUUUAGCCGCCGGACUAGCUCACUUGGCAUUUCAACAAGAAGGGGAGGACUGGCCGGAUGGAGGCGUGUUGUCCCCCUUGCAGAGAGCGAACCAAACCAUCCAAGUGACCGCAAAGCGCUGGGAAUCUUGUCGAAACCACACGAGAACGCUAGAAGCAAAUGCAUCCAACCUGACCUCCCAGGUGACUGAGCUAAACAAUCGCUUGCGUCUGAAAGAAUUAGAAAAUAAAGUUCUAGAAGAUGAACUUGCACUCUUGAAAAGUUGGACUCAGAAGCUUCAGGAUUUAAUUAAUCGCCAAAAGGAAGUGAUUGCCCAUUUGCAGGAGCAGCAAUUGUUGAUACCCGACUCUGUUGAUUCCCGUCAACAAAUCUAUCUCCAUAUUGGCCUAGUUUCCAUGUUGAUCGCCACUAUUGUCACCCUUCAGGUUUAAGAAGCACAGGUGGACGUUACAUGGCACAAUGUGAAAACAACCAAUGCUUUGCUUUUUCGUAUCAGCGGCCUCCUUGGUGCAGUCUGAUGCCAUAUCUAUCAUAUCAUCUGGGGGAUAAGGGUGCUAACAUUAUUUAGAAUAAUGGUUCUCAACCUUGGCCACUUGAAGAGGUGUGGACUUCAACUCCCAGAAUUCCCCAGCCAGCCAUGUGAUCAUGCUGGCUGAGGAAUUCUGGGAGUUAAAGUCCACACUUCUUCAAGUGGCCAAGAUUGAGAAACACUGAUCUAGAAUACAGUGGUGUCUGCAGCAUGUGGUUAAAAAAAUAAGCAUGGUGGCCAGAGUCACAAAUCCACUUCAUGUAUUUGCAAUACCAUCUGGCCACCAUUUUGAUUUUUUUUUUUUAACCACACCUUGCAGACAUCCCUGCUAUAUAAUCAAAAUUUGGAGCAAGUCCUUGAUAAGAAUUUUUAAGGACUAUCCAGAAAUGUACCUUUUUUAACCCAACAAUGUGAUUCCUCCCCUAUAACCCUCCCCAAAUCUUCAGCCAUGCUUAAAGUAUUAUUUUAUUUCUCCUGAAAUUAAGGAAAGGCAAUAAGUAUUUUCAUAAUACUUUAUUCAUGUUAAAAGUGUCUGCCCAGAAUUAGGAAAGAAAGGGAUGAAACAGAUGUGAUUUCUGUCAGCUUUGAGAUUUGAAUUCCACUAUAUUCACUUUCUGCCUUACUUUUGAUUUUUUUAAAAAUAUUAAAGUUUGUAUGCAGCUUUAUGUGCAUGUCAUUGUAACAUGCAUAAUUUUGCCUGAUCUGCAGAGCUUGCACCUUAAUUGUAAUUUUAUGUUAUUUUAACCCUCUUGUGCACUUUGACAUUUACUUUGCCUUUUGGAUUGUUUUGUAUCAAGCGGGUAAGAAAUUUAAAUAAAACAAACAAAUGUGUUCA